ACGAGGCAACAUCUUUCUCACGUCCUACCAGUACCCCUUCUACGACUGCCGCCAGGCCAUGAGCCUGGAGGAGAACCUGCCGUGAGUGUCUCGUGCCCGUCAACCCCGCCCCGCCCGCCCACCCCAGCCCUGCUCACGAUCCCCUCUGGACACAGGUGCAUCUCCUGCGUGAGCAACCGCUGGACCUGCCAGUGGGACCUGCGCUACCAUGAGUGCCGGGAGGCCUCGCCCAACCCUGAGGACGGCAUCGUCCGUGCCCACAUGGAGGACAGCUGUCCCCAGUUCCUGGGACCCAGCCCCCUGGUGAUCCCCAUGAACCACGAGACAGACGUGACCUUCCAGGGCAAGAACCUGGACACUGUGAAGGGUUUCUCCCUGCACGUGGGCAGUGACUUGCUCAAGUUCAUGGAGCCAGUGAGCAUGCAGGAAUCUGGGACCUUCGUCUUUCGGACCCCAAAGGAAGUGCAGUGUGCCCCUGCGUGUCCCCCAGCUGUCCCAUGAUGCCAACGAGACGCUGCCCCUGCACCUCUACGUCAAGUCUUACGGCAAGAAUAUCGACAGCAAGCUCCACGUGACCCUCUACAGCUGCUCCUUUGGCCGCAGCGACUGCAGCCUGUGCCGGGCCGCUAACCCCGACUACAGGUGUGCGUGGUGUGGGGGCCAGAGCAGGUGCGUGUAUGAGGCCCUGUGCAACACCACCUCCGAGUGCCCGCCGCCCGUCAUCACCAGGAUCCAGCCUGAGACGGGCCCCCUGGGUGGGGGCAUCCGCAUCACCAUCCUGGGGUCCAAUUUGGGCGUCCGAGCAGGGGACAUCCAGAGGAUCUCUGUGGCCGGCCGGAACUGCUCCUUUCAACCGGAACGUUACUCCGUGUCCACCCGGAUCGUGUGUGUGAUCGAGGCUGCGGAGGCGCCCUUCACUGGGGGUGUCGAGGUGGACGUCUUCGGGAAACUGGGCCGUUCGCCUCCCAACGUCCAGUUCACCUUCCA
rnacentral:sRNA from 1 species